rnacentral:rRNA from 1 species
CGCUGGCGGCAUGCCUAACACAUGCAAGUCGAACGGUAACAGGUCUUCGGAUGCUGACGAGUGGCGCACGGGUGAGUAACGCGUGGAUAUCUGCCUAUGAGUGGGGGACAACUUUCGGAAACGAAAGCUAAUACCGCAUAAUCUCUACGGAGCAAAGCAGGGGACCUUUCGGGGCYUUGUGCUUAUAGAUGAGUCCGCGUCAGAUUAGCUAGUUGGUGGGGUAAGAGCCUACCAAGGCGAUGAUCUGUAGCUGGUUUGAGAGGAUGAUCAGUCACACUGGAACUGAGACACGGUCCAGACUCCUACGGGAGGCAGCAGUGGGGAAUUUUGCACAAUGGGCGCAAGCCUGAUGCAGCGAUGCCGCGUGUGGGAAGAAGGCCUUUGGGUUGUAAACCACUUUCAAUUGGGAAGAAGGGAUGAGUAUUAAUAAUACUCUGACUUGACGGUACCUUUAGAAGAAGCACCGGCUAAUUUCGUGCCAGCAGCCGCGGUAAUACGAAAGGUGCAAGCGUUGUUCGGAUUUACUGGGCGUAAAGAGAUCGUAGGUGGUUUGUUAAGUUAGAUGUGAAAUCCCGGGGCUCAACCUCGGAACUGCAUCUAAAACUGGCAGACUUGAGUUCGGGAGGGGUAAGCGGAAUUCCGUGUGUAGCAGUGAAAUGCGUAGAUAUACGGAGGAACACCUGAGGCGAARGCGGCUUACUGGACCGAUACUGACACUGAGGAUCGAAAGCGUGGGUAGCAAACAGGAUUAGAUACCCUGGUAGUCCACGCCCUAAACGAUGUCAACUAGCCGUUGCGGGUAUCGACCCCUGCAGUGGCGCAGCUAACGCGAUAAGUUGACCGCCUGGGGAGUACGGU